GAUGGUAGUGUAUUGGACUACCAUGGCUUUAACGGGUAACGGAGGAUUAGGGUUCGAUUCCGGAGAGGGAGCCUGAGAAACGGCUACCACAUCUAAGGAAGGCAGCAGGCGCGUAAAUUACCCAAUCCCAAUUCGGGGAGGUAGUGACAAGAAAUAACAACCUGGGGGACUCUGUCCUUACGGGAUUGCAAUGAGAACAAUUUAAACGACUUAUCGAGGAACAAUUGGAGGGCAAGUCUGGUGCCAGCAGCCGCGGUAAUA
rnacentral:rRNA from 1 species